UGGGGAAUUUUGGACAAUGGGCGAAAGCCUGAUCCAGCAAUGCCGCGUGUGUGAAGAAGGCCUUCGGGCUGUAAAGCACUUUUGUCCGGAAAGAAAUCCUUGGCUCUAAUACAGUCGGGGGAUGACGGUACCGGAAGAAUAAGCACCGGCUAACUACGUGCCAGCAGCCGCGGUAAUACGUAGGGUGCAAGCGUUAAUCGGAAUUACUGGGCGUAAAGCGUGCGCAGGCGGUUUGCUAAGACCGAUGUGAAAUCCCCGGGCUCAACCUGGGAACUGCAUUGGUGACUGGCAGGCUAGAGUAUGGCAGAGGGGGGUAGAAUUCCACGUGUAGCAGUGAAAUGCGUAGAGAUGUGGAGGAAUACCGAUGGCGAAGGCAGCCCCCCUGGGCCAAAUACUGACGCUCAUGCACGAAAAGCGUGGGGAGCAAAACAGGAUUAGAUACCCUGGGUAGUCCACGCCCUAAAACGAUGUCAACUAGUUGUUGGGGACUUCAUUUCCUUAGUAACGUAGCUAACGCGUGAAGUUGACCGCCU
rnacentral:rRNA from 1 species